GGGGACGUGGUCUAGCCUGGUAUGAUUGGCCCUUGGGGUGGGUCAGAUCGGGGGUUCAAAUCCUCCCGUUCCCA
rnacentral:tRNA from 1 species